UGCAAACAUCCGGCCUGGAAAGUGAAAACAGAAACUCUCUCCCCCUAACCCUAAUACAGCUUAAACUAACCCACGAAGAUCGUCUCUCAUCUUCAUGCGGCUGCGGUGACGUUUGCGCUUACUGUAACAGACUUCUUUAUGGAUUCCUCUUUAAUCCUGUUGAUUUAUUCUCCCAUGAUGUGUCUUCGAUGCGUUGAUUAGGUCUGAAAGGCGGUGUGUGUUCAGCAUAAAUAUGUGAGCAAUCCUCAUCUUGGACUCAUCUUUUCUUUCAAUUCUCUGAAAGUAUCUCAGGUUAAGCGAGGCGGCGAGGGUCGACACACUCCUCAUGUACGCCAAGGGUUGACAUCGCCAUUAACGAUCGUCUAACUCUUCGACCCACUCCAACCACGAUUCACAAUUCAAUGCGUUGUUCCUUUCUACAAGGCGGUAGAUCUCCAGCUAUAAGAAGAUAUGUGUUGUUGAUGAGACCGACCGACGAAGCUGUUUUGAUUACCAGUAUCCAGUUUCAAAGGUCUCGGUUACACUAGAACAAGAAGUUCUCACAACGCUUACACAAAUACAUCGAUUUGUGAGAAUAAUCUUACGUCCCAAGUUUUUUAAAACUAUAAACUGAUUCUUCCAAUGGCGUUCCCACGAGAACAAG